GGCCUGGUGGUGUAGUGGUUAACAUUCCUGCUCCACCUUAUUGUAAUUAUCCCGAAUUUACAGCGAGAGAUCCUUGUUCGAAUCAAGGUCAGGCGG